rnacentral:lncRNA from 1 species
UCUCACUUUGGAUCAUGUGUGUAAACUCCAUUUUCUUCAAAUGCCGAAGAUGCUCUAUGAGGUACUCUACAUUAAAGGUUACCAGAAACUAUUCUCAAAUGACUAGAACAGGUAGGGUGGCCUGCUUCAGUUGUCACCAGCGACCUCACCCACGAGCAUGUAGAUGACAAGUACAACCUUAUGUUCGGGAACUACCUCAAGAGUUGCGAAGGCCUU